rnacentral:lncRNA from 1 species
CUGAGCUUGGAGUAUGACUGAGCCUUUGGUGAAACCCUGAGCCACAGCACAUGUUCAGGCAUCUCUGGGGUGCCCUAGGAUCUUGCCCCCAUCCUAUGACCACUCCUAGUUUGGGGUCUAAGCAGUGUCAUGAAGAGGAAGCAAAGAUAGCAAGCACAACAUGGACCCACUGGCGAUAUCUAACUUGGAGAAUGUGCAAGUCCCUUAAAUAGAAUGGCAUAUUUGCAUAUAAGAGAUCUACAGUUCACACUGACAGCUUUGCCUGCUGAAGGUAUUGCUGUAGAGGAUCUUCCUUCAUCUCAGC